UACGGGGGGAGCAAGCGUUGUUCGGAUUUACUGGGCGUAAAGGGCGCGUAGGCGGCCUCUGCAAGUCGACUGUGAAAUCUCCGGGCUUAACCCGGAACGGUCAGCCGAUACUGCAGGGCUAGAGUGCAGAAGGGGCAACUGGAAUUCUCGGUGUAGCGGUGAAAUGCGUAGAUAAUCGAGAGGAACACCUGCGGCGAAGGCGGGUUGCUGGGCUGACACUGACGCUGACUGCGAAGCUAGGGGAAGCGAACGGGA
rnacentral:rRNA from 1 species